rnacentral:rRNA from 1 species
UACGUAGGCGGAAAUCUAAGUCAGUGGUGAAAUCCCGCAGCUCAACUGUGGAACUGUCAUUGAUACUGGUUUUCUUGAAUAUAGUUGAGGUAGGCGGAAUGUGUAAUGUAGCGGUGAAAUGCUUAGAUAUUACACAGAACACCGAUUGCGAAGGCAGCUUACUAAGCUAUGAUUGACGCUGAGGUACGAAAGCGUGGGGAGCGAACAGGAUUAGAUACCCUGGUAGUCC